UACGAAGGGGGCUAGCGUUGCUCGGAUUGACUGGGCGUAAAGGGCGCGUAGGCGGUUCGUACAGUCAGACGUGAAAUCCUGGGCUCAACCUGGGGCUGCGUUUGAUACGUGCGGACUUGAGUGCGGAAGAGGGUCGUGGAAUUCCCAGUGUAGAGGUGAAAUUCGUAGAUAUUGGGAAGAACACCGGUGGCGAAGGCGGCGACCUGGUCCGAUACUGACGCUGAGGCGCGAAGCGUGGGAGCAAACAGG
rnacentral:rRNA from 1 species